AAUUAAAUUGUAUAUGGUGAGAGAAAAGACUUUUUCUCAGUCUUUAAAACGUGUUUACGUUUUUCAAACUGAUUCGAUUUUUGAACGUGAAAAUGAUGAACAGUAUUGUGAUACUUUUGAUGAUAAUUUCAACAAUCUUUGCCUGUGACCAAUUUGCGAACAAAGAGAAGAAAAAUUACGACGAUAUAAUCGGAGCAAAUACAUACAAUAAAGAAUCCUUCGACAGAUUUUAUAAAAUGCUGAAACACUAUUGUUUCCAAAAUCAAACAACUAAGGCCAUAUUUGAAAAAAAUAGGCUAAAUCUCCCAUCGAUAAAAAAUAUUGGGCUUGCUUCGAACGAAUUCAAGGAUCUAUGUGCGGCUAUAUACGA